rnacentral:lncRNA from 1 species
GGGAGGGGGCGGCGGGCCGGAGGGAGCGGGGCGCGGGGAGCGGGGCGCGGGGAGCGGGGAGCGGGGUGCUCCUCCCGAAGGGCGCGGCUGGGACGAGCCGGCACGGGGCAGGUCGCUGAGGUGAGUGAGCCCCGGCCCCCUGCCGUCGCUUUGCCCUCGCUGUUCUCAGCUCGGGAGGGAGGGGGCGAGCAGAGCCCGUCAGCCCUUAUAAAUAAGCGGGAAGGAGUGGCCCCAAGUUGUGUCAGGGGAGGUUUAGGUUGGAUUUUAGGAGAAGGCUUUUCACCCAGAGGGUGGUCGAGCACUGGAAAUAGGCUCCCCAGGGAAAUGGCUGUGGCCCCAAGACUGCCAGUUCACAAACCUUUUGGCCAAAGCUCUCAGCUCUCAGGCACACGGUGGGAUUCUUGGCAGGCACCGUGCGCAGGGCCGGGAGUUGGACUCGAUGACCUGAUGCCAACUCAGGAUGUUCCGUGGUGCUGUGAACGUGCGCAGCUCAGAGGAGCAAGCUGGGGUGACACGUUCUCAGCAGAGCUUGCGUGAGAAACUGCAAGAGUCUCCUGAACAUCCUCCUGCUUCCCCUGUGCGCGUCUGGUCGUUUUAUGACGGCAGAUUAAAAAGCUCGGGAGCCGCGGUGUGGUUUGACGUGUCCUGGCGCCGGAGGAAUGCAAACAUGCCAUGUUUGCCAUGUCUUAUUGCAGGUUGGCAGCUGGAGCAGGGGCACUCCUGGAGCAGUGGCUGCAGGCACAGGACUGAGAAAGUGUCCAUCCCAGACGUGUGGAAAGCAACAGGUGGAUGCGGAGUUCCGUGUGAAGCGCUCGGCCGCUGUGCUGUCUCAGAGGAUGAGGAGGGAGAAGUGUCAGCCCCUGUCUCGCUUCUGUCGCACAGCUGGAGCGGGCAGGGCGCCUCGCAGCCAUGUUGGGUACGGGCAGCAGGAGCUCACCGUGCCCCUCCGUUUUCUGGGCAGGAAGUCCGUGGAAAUGUUACCGUAGCCAUCAUAACUGCGGGCAGGAACAGCCUGCUCCGUGUCCAUCUUGGGUAAGGGAAAGGGAGCUCUGCAGGGGACUGUCACUGUCACAUCUGUCCCCUGCAGAGCUGCUGUCUGUUUCAGGCGGAUGAAAUGCAGCUUACAUAGUUCAUGUGCAUACCUGAAAAACAUCUGGAUUUUGGCUUGAGUGUGUCAAAGUCUUAAUGACUUGAUGAAAAAAUGAGAUCUUUUGCUGAAGGAAGCCUGUCCUGAAUUCUGAGCUAACUGACUUAGAAAGAAAAACACCGAGCAGCAUUAUAGGCAACUCAGUGCCAGAUUUCUGCCUACGGAGCAAUGAUGGUCUAAAAGGCUUCCAAAAUAAUUAAUAUAUAUCAGACUGAGUUUUCAGUGCAGAGGUAUGAACCAGUUGCUUAGCAGGAGAUGCUGAUUCCAGAGAAGUUGUUACAUUUGAAAUGACUGAGGCAUGCUGUAUAGCAAAAGUCCUAUUUCUAGUGUAAAAAUUAAGAUGCAAACUGAUAAUGAAAUCAGAAUAAACAGAUAAGGAGAAACUUGAAGAUGCA